rnacentral:rRNA from 1 species
AGAACGAACGCUGGCGGCAGGCCUCAAACAUGCAAGUCUAGGGGGUGUAGCAAUACAUCACCGGCGGACGGGUGCGUAACGCGUGGGAAUAUACCUAUUGGUUCGGAACAACUGAGGGAAACUUCAGCUAAUACCGGAUAAGCCCUUACGGGGAAAGAUUUCUCGCCAAUAGAUUAGCCCGCGUCCGAUUAGCUAGUUGGUGGGGUAAAAGCCUACCAAGGCAACGAUCGGUAGCUGUUCUGAGAGGAAGAUCAGCCACACUGGGACUGAGACACGGCCCAGACUCCUACGGGAGGCAGCAGUUGGGAAUCUUGGACAAUGGGGAAACCCUGAUCCAGCCAUGCCGCGUGAGUGAUGAAGGCCUUCGGGUGUAAAACUCUUUCGACGGGGACGAUAAUGACGGUACCGUAGAAGAGCUCCGGCUAACUUCGUGCCAGCAGCCGC